rnacentral:rRNA from 1 species
GUAACCUGGUUGAUCCUGCCAGUAGUCAUAUGCUUGUCUCAAAGAUUAAGCCAUGCAUGUCUAAGUAUAAGCUUGUAUACGGUGAGACUGCGAAUGGCUCAUUAAAACAGUUAUAGUUUAUUUGCUGGACGUGUAUAUGGAUAACCGUAGCAAUUCUAGAGCUAAUACAUGCUGGUUGCGCUGCUCUGCAGCGU